rnacentral:rRNA from 1 species
AGCGAACGCUGGCGGCAGGCCUAACACAUGCAAGUCGAACGAACCUUUCGGGGUUAGUGGCGGACGGGUGAGUAACACGUGGGAACGUGCCUUUAGGUUCGGAAUAACUCAGGGAAACUUGUGCUAAUACCGAAUGUGCCCUUCGGGGGAAAGAUUAAUCGCCUUUAGAGCGGCCCGCGUCUGAUUAGCUAGUUGGUUGAGGUAAUGGCUCACCAAGGCGACGAUCAGUAGCUGGUCUGAGAGGAUGAUCAGCCACAUUGGGACUGAGACACGGCCCAAACUCCUACGGGAGGCAGCAGUGGGGAAUCUUAGACAAUGGGGGAAACCCUGAUCUAGCCAUGCCGCGUGAGCGAUGAAGGCCUUAGGGUUGUAAAGCUCUUUCAGCUGGGAAGAUAAUGACGGUACCAGCAGAAGAAGCCCCGGCUAACUCCGUG